UUCAUCUUCGCGGAGGGAGGUUUUGUCCGAGUCUCAAGCAUUUCUGCAUGCCAUGCCAUGCACAGAGGGCGUGAUGGCCCAUCGCCACCAACCUCUCUCUCUCAUGAUGCUUCGAGCCUCGUAAAUCUUGAAUUGGGGGCCACUCCCCAUCGCCGCGUUCCGAUCAUACCUUCAACCAGCAGCGUUGUUAAUCCUGAAUCCCUCUUUUCAACAAAAGUUGUGUCUCGAAAUUUGGGGUUCUAUGGGAUGAGAUUGAGUUUUCACGUCGGAGGGCAGGCACCUCGCAGCGCACAAUUACGCGCGACGGACCGUUGUGGGGAAGGUACCGAGGCGCAAGCUUCGAGCUUUAGUGAGAUAUGAAGGUUCUGCGGCGUGAUUGAUCGUUGAAGAGGUGGUGGAAUAUGGGGGGAUGAAGCAAGCGGCAUGGCGCUGGGAUUGUGGAGAUUUGAAGGGGAAUCGCGAGAGGUUCUGUAUGGCUGUCGCAGAGGAGCAUGAGUGAUGGACGCAUCCGAAUUGGUGCUUUGGAGUAGGUCCUUGAGGGCAGGGUUCCUGGUUGCGACCGUUCUUGGAUUGGUGGUGGUGAAGGGAAAGAGCGUCAUCUGGAGUGUGCAGAAUGUGGGUGUUCUAUGCAUUGGCAGGGCCCAUCGCAUUGGGCAUGGUCACGGGUGUGUUGCAGUACUUCGCUGCCCGCACUGUGCCCUUGCACGUCCGUGUUGUUGUAGGUUACGCUUGGUUGUGCGCCAUCUCUAUCAUCGUGCUUGUGCCCGCUGACAUCUGGACUACUGUUCAUUUGCCUGACCGUAAGCCUAGCAUUGCUACAUUAUGGAGCUGGUCAUAUUGGAGCACUUUCUACCUUACCUGGUUUGUUGUGCCGACAUUACAGGGUUACGAGGACGCUGGGGAUUUUACGGUGUCAAAGAGACUGAAGACAAGCAUUCAUCAGAACUUUUCCUUUUAUGGGGCUGUGGGAUUUGUUGGGAGUGUGGGGGUUCUGAUUAUGAUCUUCAUGAACAAACUACACUGGGAUGGGCUUCUAGCAUUAGCAAUUGCCUGCUCCAACACUUUUGGACUAGUUACGGGUGCAUUUCUUCUGGGUUUUGGCCUGGUAGAAAUCCCUCGAAGCAUGUGGCGCAAUGCAAAUAUGGAGUAUCGCCAGAAAUACCUGACUCACAAAAUUGCACGAUGUGCCGUCAAGCUGGAUGACGCUCAUCAGGAGCUGUCCACUGCAAUUGUUAUUGCACAAGCAACUUCAAAUCAGAUGCCAAGCCACGAUAUACUACGGCCAUGCAUGGAUGUAAUCGAUGACAUGAUGGUGGAAAUGUAUAGGGGAGACCCAGCAUUCAAGCCAUCUGGUGGAAGAAUGGGUGAAAACGAUAUGGACUAUGAUCAGAAUGAGAAAUCGAUGGCUGCACUUCGAAGGCGUCUUCGUAAAGCACAGAGUGCGUACUAUCGAUACAAAAGUGACUACACGUUAUAUAUUUGGGAGGCACUUGAAUUGGAAGAGAUAGUGAAGAAUGUUCAGCGGGGGAGUAAUACAGAUGGGCGAUUUGUGUCGACAAUUCGACCACAACGUACUGGCCCCCUUGCUGAUUUUCUUGAUAGAGCUGAGUAUGUGUGGUGCUCGCAACUUAAACAGUAUGUGGUUAAAAUUUCAGCUAUAUUUCUAGGAACCAUGUCUCUUGCAAUUGUGAUGGCUGAAGCCACCCUUAUGGUCGAAGCAGAUCUUUCUCUCUUGUCUUUGCUGCUCAGAGCGGUUGGAAAUUCAGAAAUACUGGUACAGGUGGUUGCAUUUGUACCUUUGGCAUAUAUGUGUGUGUGUACGUAUUUUUCUCUUAUCAAGUUGGGAAUGAUGACAAUUUAUUAUCUAGCGCCAAAGCAAACUAGCUCUGUCAGCUUACUCAUGAUUUGCUCGAUGAUUGCGAGGUAUGCAGCACCCCUCUGUUACAACUUUCUGGGCCUGAUCAAGCUCAAGAAUGCAGACGGAACCGAUCAGAAAACUGUUUUUGAGGAUAAAAUGGGUUCUAUGACUGUAAUCCCCUUCAUUGGAGAUGAAAGAUUCAACACUUUCUAUCCAAUAUUCAUGGUAAUUUACACUGGCUUACUGGCCAGCAAUGUCUUGAACCGUACAAUGAGUUACUUCGGCAGCUGGCGAUAUUUUAGAAGCCGUGACGCUGAAGAUGGUCAAGGGUUUGAUCCGUUGGGUCUUGUCAUUCUCCGUAAAGAGCGGUCUUGGCUUCAGCAGGGUGCUGUAGUAGGAGAGAAUGUUGUGCCCCUAGCUCGCAACUUUGGCAGCGCUGAAUUGGACGUUGAACCUGAGGGAACCAAUAUGAAGAAGGCAACUUCUGACAAACAGGACUUGCAACAGAACUCAUCUUUGAUUAGUGCAUACAGUGCACCACCAGAUAAACACGAAGGCUCUGCUUAUUAUCAAUAUGGACGAGUGAAAAAUUCCCCAUCUAAGAGUGAUAUUGUUUCCAAGUACGCCACACUUCGAGAUGUUUCUAAAGCACCCUCCAGUGGCAAUCACAAGAUCCCAAAGAGAGAACCUUCUGGUAACAAUAUCAGAGACCCUUUCGAAGUGCAACAUGGGGAGUUGACGAGAGGGGUGACUCCCUCAACGAAGUCACCGGAACCUCCAGCAUCAACUGACUUGCAAACUGCAUCGCCUAGAAAUCCUCAACAGUUGGAUAGCUCAGUUGGUAUCAAGUUUCCAGUGAACUGGGACAUAAUGAAGUCUGGGUGGCAGAACUUAGGAACAAAUCGGUUUUCCCCUGAAAGAAAUGACACGGUUAGAAGUCCACCACAACCCACUUCCACACAGACACUAGAUAGAAUUUUCGAAGGCCUGAGAGCAAGGAACUGAGUUUUAUAUCAAAGGUCCUGCAUCUGGAACUACUCUUUCGUGGAAGCUGAAUGCUAACGUCUUCCCUUGAUUAAUGUGCAUUUGUGAAUACCGAGGAAGUGCAAGGAUGUACAAGAUUUGAAUUUUAUAUUUUGAAUGAUAGAUAAAACAAGAAACAAACAAAUGAUUGUUUGGCAUGCAGGGUGUGAGAGGAUAUCAUUAAAUUCAAUUGAUGACAUAUAUAUAUAUAUAUAUAUAUAUAUGUAUACAUACUAGUUGAACCUGUGUGCCAUUGUCAUAGAGAAUAUGCAAAAAUAUAUUAUACUAGAAAUUGGGUACAUCUUCAAUAUCAAUAAUAAUGAAACAAUGUUGUAAAAUUGAGCUUUUAAGUAUGCAUAAGUAUACAUACUUACAUGCAUAUGUGUAAUGAAUGUGGUUGUUAAUUAAUAACAUCACAUACUUGUGUUA